CGCUGUCUUGGGGAUCUUACAUUACUUACCUUGCAGUUUAUUCCACUUUCAUGCAGGUCGGCAUUGACCCUGGACAUUUUUCUUCUGGUGUUUUUUAGAGACAACAAACAGGUCAGUUUACUCUCAUUGGUUUCUUUAAGCCUGACCUUUCUUGCCUGCAGCCUUUUUAUUGCCUUCAGUAGUUUUUCACAGGUGCAUGAGCCAUAAUUGCGUGUACUUCGUUGAACAAGCAUGGAAAAGCGUGGUCUAGAGUGCUUCCACUAGUUCCCUGUAAAACACUGAUAAGUUGCCCACUUCUAAAGUAGCAAGAUACACUGCUUUGCUUUUGCUGGGAAUCGAACCUGGGUCCCCUGCGCGGGAAACAACAACUCUGCCACUCAACCACCAGUGAGUGAAGCUGCGCUGUGCUCAUGGCUCUGGGGACAGCUGCCGCUUAUGAAGAACAACUAACAUGGCGUUAAAAGGCGACCUCUGCUGCAUUGGCCGGGAAUCGGACCCGGGUCUCCCGCGCCGCGGCCUUGAAUUGUUUAGCUAAACGGCCCUAAACCGUUUCCCAUUCAUUCUCAAUGGUAGUGCUAAACCACUACGGAUGUAAUAUACUUUCGGCCGCUAGCGCUCUCGUGGCGCUCUUCCGGUUUUCGGCACCGCGGGAAGUUUGAAUUCGCAGAAGAAGGAGAAGAAGAAAACACACAACAGCGAUCGCCUCCGUUGUUAAAUUCAACGCAUUCUCAAGCGUCUAUCAAAGAGAGCACUGCUUCUUCACUGAUUGUGUCUUUGCUGUCAUCUUUUCCUGGGACCCGAGCAGAUCUUCAGUCAGAGACAGGAGCUACAUGUAUGUCACCUCUGCAUGUGCUGGCCGUACCUGACCUGUGAAGACUGCUGACAGGGUGUUUGUACUGGACAGCGAACGCUGAGCCUAUCGACAACGUGCUUAAUAAACACCACAGGAAGACAUCCUAACAGCACGCUCCAUAUGACCACAAAACUACACGUCACAUUAUGUCAAGCACCUGACCACACUGCUGAACACCAGUUCUUCAUUAAACACGACUGCAGAGAAGUAAACACCAGGAUGUCAUUCCAAGACUUUAUGGAAAUGGAGCACUUUAGACUGAACUGAAGGACACAAAGAAACGGGACUGCAAAAACACGAAAGGCCUGGAGAUGAACACGUUGUUCACUU